GGAGUAUCACUUGAGCUCAGGAGGUUGAGGCUGCAGUGAGCCAAGAUUGUUCCACUGCACUCUAGCCUGAGCAACAGAG
rnacentral:snRNA from 1 species